rnacentral:rRNA from 1 species
GACGAACGCUGGCGGCGUGCUUAACACAUGCAAGUCGAACGGACAGGCCCUGCUUUUGUUGGGUUCUCGAUUGGCGAACGGGUGAGUAACACGUGAGUAUCCUGCCCUUGACUUUGGGAUAACUUCAGGAAACUGGGGCUAAUACCCGAUAUGAGCUCCUGCUGCAUGUUGGGCGUUGGUGAGUUUCGGCGGUGUUGGCUGGUCUCGCUGCUUAUCAGCUGGAUGGUGGGGUAGUUGCGUUCCAAGGUUUUGACGGGUCGGCCGCAUUGGAGGGUGACCAGGCACCAGAGGCCUGCGGUACGGACCAGACUCGUACGGGAGGCAGCAGUGGGGAAUCUUGCACAAUGGGCGGACGCCAGAUGCAGCAGCGCCGCGUGCGGAAUGACGGCCUUCGAGUUGUAAACCGAUUUCGAAUGUGCCGAAGAGUGAGUGACGGUAAUGGGUAAAGAAGCACCGGCUAACUACGUG